rnacentral:rRNA from 1 species
UCGAGAAUCUUCGGCAAUGGACGCAAGUCCGACCGAGCGACGCCGCGUGCGGGAUGAAGGCCUUCGGGUUGUAAACCGCUGUCAGUGGGGAGGAAAUCCCAAGGAGCUAUCUUCUUGGGUUGACCUAUCUUCAGAGGAAGUGCGGGCUAAGUUCGUGCCAGCAGCCGCGGUAAUACGAACCGCACGAACGUUAUUCGGAAUCACUGGGCUUAAAGGGUGCGUAGGCGGCCAUGCAAGUUGGGUGUGAAAUCCCUCGGCUCAACCGAGGAAUUGCGCUCAAAACUGCACGGCUUGAGGGAGAUAGAGGUGAGCGGAACUUGCGGUGGAGCGGUGAAAUGCGUUGAUAUCGCAAGGAACACCAGUUGCGAAAGCGGCUCACUGGGUCUCUUCUGACGCUGAGGCACGAAAGCUAGGGGAGCGAAGAG